rnacentral:rRNA from 1 species
AACGAACGCUGGCGGCGCGCCUAAUACAUGCAAGUCGAGCGAGAAGACGUAGCAAUACGUUUGUAAAGCGGCGAACGGGUGAGGAAUACAUGGGUAACCUACCCUCGAGUGGGGAAUAACUAGCCGAAAGGUUAGCUAAUACCGCGUACGCUCCUUGGACUUCGGUUCAGGGAGGAAAGCGAUACCGUGGGUAUCGCGCUCUUGGAUGGGCUCAUGUCCUAUCAGCUUGUUGGGAGGUAACGGCUCACCAAGGCUUCGACGGGUAGCUGGUCUGAGAGGACGAUCAGCCACACUGGCACUGCGACACGGGCCAGACUCCUACGGGAGGCAGCAGUAAGGAAUAUUGCGCAAUGGGCGAAAGCCUGACGCAGCGACGCCGCGUGGGGGAUGAAGGUCUUCGGAUUGUAAACCCCUUUCGGGAGGGAAGAUGGAACGAGCAAUCGUUCGGACGGUACCUCCAGAAGCAGCCACGGCUAACUUCGUGCCAGCCGCCG